rnacentral:lncRNA from 1 species
UGAAAACAUUUUCUAUUUUCAUUUUUUAAAAUUUGAGUUAGUUUUACUUGUUAACGAGAGACUCUCUAAUUGAACAAAUUUCAAUAUUUCAUGAAGUGUGUCAUCCUUAAUUAGCACUUUGUCUUCUUUACUCUCGUUAAAAGUCUCUUUUAUCCAUUAUUAACAAAUAAUACUAAUACAAAUUUUAAGUAAUGAAAUAGAAGGUCUUUUCACAAAAAUGUAUUUAUCAUUUCGUAACUAAAAAAAAUAGAGGUCAUUGUAGCUAAUUGAGCAAUAUUGAUUUGGUUAACAGGGCAGUUAUAUUAUAAGACCUGUGACACUAAGAUGCCUACAUGUUUUUCCUAUAUCAAAUUCAAAAUUC